UCUCAUUUUCAAAUUUCGUGAGAGGAAAAUGCAGAAACUAAGGGUGAAAUCUACGAAACGACACUCCAUUGAACACCUCGUCGAUGAGUCCGUCACUGAGAUAACAGCAACUAUAUGUUAUUCAGCUCAAUAAUGGAGAAGAAUUCUAUCCUUUUCACCUAUCCUCCUGAAGUGAGAUUCUAUUCUCCUUUUCCCACUACGCUGGGCCGACCCGACCCUAUAUAUGGUUUAAUAUAUGCUUCUUCUGAUGAUGGUUCUGUUCUCCAUGACAUAGAUUGACGAAUAAUAUAGAAAUUGGUCUAUCCUGGAGGAUAAAAUCGUGUUUCUUUUAGCUCAGUUUUUGUACUUAUUAAACUUGAAAAUUGAUUUGUUUUCCAGAUCAUAUACUUACUCAACUUCUCUGUCAUUUUGCUAUUGAUUCAUAAAAUGGGUUUCCAGAUCAUAUGCUUACUCUACUUCUCUAUCAUUUUUCUAUUGAUCCAUAAAAUGGGUUUUAUUAAUAUCUUAAAUUGUUACCUUGUCUUUCCUAGUAUUAAAAAUUACAAUCUUGGAAUUGGAAAAAUCACAUGAAUUAUGUAUUUCGUUCUCUUGUCUUUCCAAAUUCUAGUUCUUGUGUGCCUAUACCGUUCACUUUUGUCUAAAUGCACCUUUAGAAGAUUUGUAAGAAUGGUCAAUGGUUUGAAGUAUUAGUUAUCUCUGUCACCUUUACUGUUUUGUUAAAUGCCUAUAUCUUGGAUUUAUUAAGUUGGUCUUGCUAUCGUGCAGUUUUGGAUUCUUGCAUAUGUGUUGAGUGCUUUAAGUCUUUGUCAACUACAUAUUGUUUAUUUGAAUGAUUGUUGCUUGUAUAUAGAGAAGACGAUAAGAAUCUGAAAUUCAUAUUCUCAAUCAUGUCUACACCCCCCCACAGUUUUGGUGGGUAAAUAUCUAUUUCGAACCAAAAGAAUUAGACACUGAAAUUGUCUCUAACUGGUUAGGAAUUCUUCUGGACUCCCAACUAACCUUCAUUAAUUAUAGAACCUGAUUCCUUAAAGGCCAGGGACUUGUUAGUCAUGUAAGCAAGUCUCUCGUAAAAAUCAGGAAUAUUGACAGCAUCAUUCUUGGGUGAGCCUCUUGCCUUGCUGUGAUUGGAGGUUCAGUGAAUGAUGGUACAGUUAAUUAGGACAAGUUCAAGUUGUUGUUCAUGGUACUAUUGUUAUUUUCUUCAUUACAUGUGAUAAAUUUGGCUAGAAGUACUACAAUGGUAUUUGUGAAUUGUGAUGCAAUCCAAGUGAUUUGUGGUUUAGUCUUUGCGAGGGCUAAAUCGCGUUGCUUUGAUUUAAGUUUAUUAUUUUAAGCUGCCUUUAUAAUUCUCUAUAGUUAGAGCUAUUUUUGUUUAUCUAAACAAGAGAAGGGCUUUUGUUGUUUUUCAAUAGCUAAUUAAGGAAAUUUACUAGGAGUUUUUCACUCAGUCCAAUUUCAAUACCCGUGGGAAUCAAUAAUUUUGUCUUAAAAUCAAUUAUUAAGCAUUGUGGGUUAAUCAAUGAAUUCUUGAUUUCCUAAAUUUGCUUAUAUUCUCAGAAACAUACAUCUGUUCUUAUAGAGAUUUACAUAGCUUUGAAAAUCUUUGUACUGGCUUAGUUGUCAUUUUUAAUUUGCCAAGAUUCUCAGAUAUUACACCCUUAUAAUAGCAAAUACAGAUCCUCAAUCUAUAUUUGAAAAGUCUCCAGUUGAAUUUACUGAAGUAUCACUCAGUCGUUUCUCUCUUUUUUCCAUGCUACCUUUCCCCACAACAAAUCUUGUAUUUCUUUCUCUUCCUGCUUGGUGUCUCCUGUUCUGCUAAUGCACUUUCACUUCAGUUUGCAUGUUUUGCAGGUUCGCUAUGGGAGGAACUCUUGUGAAAAUUAGCAACUAAUGGACAGCUUCCAAUAUAUUCCUUUGUUAGAGGAAAAUAUCACUUUGUUAGAGAGGUAAACAGAGGGACGGUCCCUUUACGAAGACAUGGACAAUGUUUUUAGAGUAUUGAGUUAUUAUGUGCUUUAAGGCUAAUCAAUUAUUAUUAAGAAUGAGCUGCAAAGUACAUGUUAUUCAUAUAGUGCAUUCUAUAUUUCAA